rnacentral:piRNA from 1 species
UAACACGGUCAACCUGUAACUUGUUCAA